rnacentral:rRNA from 1 species
ACCGUACUCCUACGGGAGGCAGCAGUGGGGAAUUUUGGACAAUGGGGGCAACCCUGAUCCAGCAAUGCCGCGUGAGUGAAGAAGGCCUUCGGGUUGUAAAGCUCUUUUGUCAGGGAAGAAACGGUAGUAGCUAAUAUCUAUUACUAAUGACGGUACCUGAAGAAUAAGCACCGGCUAACUACGUGCCAGCAGCCGCGGUAAUACGUAGGGUGCAAGCGUUAAUCGGAAUUACUGGGCGUAAAGCGUGCGCAGGCGGUUGUGUAAGUCAGAUGUGAAAUCCCCGGGCUCAACCUGGGAAUUGCAUUUGAGACUGCACGGCUGGAGUGUGUCAGAGGGGGGUAGAAUUCCACGUGUAGCAGUGAAAUGCGUAGAUAUGUGGAGGAAUACCGAUGGCGAAGGCAGCCCCCUGGGGUAACACUGACGCUCAUGCACGAAAGCGUGGGGAGCAAACAGGAUUAGAUACCCCAGUAGUCCUUGAC